rnacentral:rRNA from 1 species
UACGGAGGGUGCGAGCGUUAAUCGGAAUUACUGGGCGUAAAGCGCAUGCAGGUGGUUUGUUAAGUCAGAUGUGAAAGCCCGGGGCUCAACCCGGAAUAGCAUUCGAAACUGGCAGACUAGAGUACUGUAGAGGGGGGUAGAAUUUCAGGUGUAGCGGUGAAAUGCGUAGAGAUCUGAAGGAAUACCGGUGGCGAAGGCGGCCCUCUGGACAGAUACUGACACUCAGAUGCGAAAGCGUGGGGAGCAAACAGG